GCGCACACACACACACACAUAAAAACAGACAUGUGAGGGGAGUCACUGGGGAUCCCACCUCUGGUAAAGUGCUUGUGUCGAUUUUGCAAGGACAUGGCUCCAAUCUCAAGUGCGGCAGAACAGAUCCUCAACUAACAGAAAACAUCAGCAGAAACACACUCUCGCUCUGAGGACAGAUGUCCAUGAGGCCUCAAGUAAAAGAGAGGCUCCAACCGCCUUGUUUCAGAUGCUUCUCAAGGAUACUUGUGCGGUGAGCAGCCUUUGAAGGCAGAGAUGGUGCCUCCGUCAGCACAGGGAGUGGGGAUGCUUAAGCUUCAGAAGAGAGAAAAUGCACCUCACUGACCAGCAAGGGGAAGGACCUGAGGCCCCUACACCAGGAUGCCUCUACUGUAGGGUCACAGGCUGCAAAUGUGACUGUCGCUUGGCCCUGGGCUUGGAGAACUGAUGGGAGAAAAUGUUCUGGCAAGGGAAGCUUUAUUUUAAUAAAACUCUACUUCUGUUCAGGGGUUUCAUGUCUUCCAGACCUCCAUGAAUCUACAGAGCAGCCAGCUAGCCUGCAGGUGAGGUCAUAUGGCGAACCUUUUCUACUUCCCAACAAGUUCCGGUAACAUACUUUCGCGUGCGCACGCACACUGCCAGCACCCGGGCCAGCAGCCCUGCAGCCCACGUGACCAGACAGUGGCACUGCAUCAGCAUCGCGUGUCUAAGCUCUGCAGUACAAUGAUCUCAUCGAUGCCUCCUCGUCUCCAGAGGAGGGAAGACAGUCUGGGGCCUCACCCUGCCCUUUGUGCCCCCUCGUUGGUUCAUAUUGCUGCCCACUCUGUGGUGCCCCGGUGUUUGUGAGUUCUCUUCCGCAACCCUGGCAGAGUAGUAAGGGAGUUUCUGUUCUCAUGGGACAGAAUGUAAUAACUAUGCCUACUUAGUUGUAUGGUAAAGCAAUUUCAAACACUAAAAAUAAAAUGUAAUUCAUUAUAAUGUCAAAAA
rnacentral:sRNA from 1 species